GGCGAGGUGAGCGCUGGGCCGGGACCCCCCCACGACCCCCCCACGACCCCCCCCGGUGGGGACGGACGGGUUGGGGGGGGGGGGUUUGGGGGGGGGUUGGGGGGGGUGGGGCCGUGCGGCGGUGCUGGAGGGCCCUAUAGAGUCCCUAUAGAGCCCCCGGUUGGCGUCCCAUAGAGAGCCCCCGUAGAAGCUCGUGGAGGCCCUAUAUGGGCCCUAUAGAGUCCCUAUAGAGGCCCCGAUCGGCGCCCCAUAGAGAGCCCCCAUAGAAGCUCACUGAGGCCCUAUAUGGGCCCUGUGUCCAUCCCCAUAGGCAUCGCUGAGCUCUCUGUAGGGCCCCUAUGGAACCCCGUGGAGCCCCUAUGUGGGCCCUAUAUAGAUCCUCCCCCCCCCAUAGAGCCCUAUAGGGCCCCUAUAGAGCCCCCAUGGAGCCCCUAUGUAGAGGGCCCUAUAUAAAGCCCCCCCCCUCCCCCCCAUUGAGCCCUAUAGGGCCCCUAUGGAACCCCAUGAAGCGCCUAUGUAGUGGGCCCUAUAUAGAGCCCCUCCACCCCCCAUUGAGCCCUAUAGGGCCCCUAUAGAGCCCCCAUGGAGCCCCUAUGUAGAGGGCCCUAUAUAUAGCCCCCCCCAUCCCCAUAGAGCCCUAUAGGGCCCCUAUGGAACCCCAUGAAGCCCCUAUGUAGUGGGCCCUAUAUAGAGCCCCUCCACCCCCCAUUGAGCCCUAUAGGGCCCCUAUAGAGCCCCCAUGGAGCCCCUAUGUGGGCCCUAUAUAGAUCCUCCCCCCCAUUGAGCCCCAUAGGGCCCCUAUAGAGCCCCCAUGGAGCCCCUAUGUAGAGGGCCCUAUAUACAUCCCCCCCCAUCCCCAUAGAGCCCUAUAGGGCCCCUAUGGAACCCCGUGGAGCCCCUAUGUAGAGGGCCCUAUAUAGAGCCCCCCCAUAGAACCCCCAUAGGCUUCAUAGAACCCCUUAUAGAACCCCAUACAGCCCCUGGAGGACCGUCCUACAGGACCCCCCCCCCCCCCGAGCCCCAUUGACCCCCCACAGCUGCUAUCCUGGGUGCCAAAGCCCCAUAUAGAACCUAUAGAACCCCCUACAGAGCUCCCAUUGUCCCCCCCCCAUACAACCCCUAUAGCACCGCCUAUAGAGCUCCCAUAGAAUCCCCCCUAGGCCCCAUACAAUCCCAUUGCCCCCUCCAGCUGCUCUCCGUGCUUCCGGACCCCUAUAGAACCCCAAUAGAUCCCUAUAGAACCCCCAUAGACCCCAUACGACCCCCAUAGAGUGCCGCUGCCGCUGUCCCUGUUGCCAAACCCCAUAGAAUUCCCAUAGUUCUCCACCGAACCGCAUUGCCCCAUAGACCCAUAUAGAACCCCUAUAGCGCCCCAUUGCCGCUGUCCGUGAUGCUAAUCCACCAUAGAACCCCCAUAGACCCCUAUAGAACCCCUAUAGUCCCCAAUAGAACCCCCAUAGACCCCUAUAGAACCCCUAUAGAGCCCCAUUGCCGCUGUCCGUCUUGCCGAGCCCCUAUAGACAGCCUAUAGACCCCUAUAGAACCCUACUGCCACUGUCGGUGGUGCUGAGACCCCACAGACCCCUAUAGAACCCCUAUAGCGCCCCAUUGCCGCUGUCCGUGAUGCUGAUCCACCAUAGAACCCCCAUAGAACCCUAUAGAACCCCUAUAGUCCCUCAUAGAACCCCCACAGACCCCUAUAGAGCCCCAUUGCCGCUGUCCGUGGUGCUGAUCCACCAUAGAACCCACAUAGAACCCUAUAGAACCCCUAUAGUCCCCAAUAGAACCCCCAUAGACCCCUAUAGAACCCCUAUAGAGCCCCAUUGCCGCUGCCCGCGGUGUUAAGCCCCACAGAUCCCUGUAGUACCCCUAUAGUCCCCAAUAGAACCCCCAUAGACCCCCAUAGAACCCCUAUAUCCCCCAUAGAGCCCCCAUACACCCCAUAGAACCCCUAUAACCACUAUAGAACCCCUAUAGUCCCCCAUAGAGUCCCCAUAGACCUCAUAGAACCCCUAUGGUCCCCCAUAGACCCCUAUAGAUCCCUAUAGAACCCCCACAGCCCACUUUACAGCCCCAUUGCCACUGUCCAUGCUGCUGAGACACAAAGACCCCUAUAGAACCCCUCUAGUCCCCCAUAGAGCCCCCAUAGACCUCAUAGAACCCCUAUGGUCCCCCAUAGACCCCUAUAGAUCCCUAUAGAACCCCCACAGCCCCCAUUAGAGCAGCAUUGCCGCUGUCCGUGGUGCUGAAUCCCCACCCGGCGGCUCUCGAGGCCCCGCCCAGGGCUUCCCCCGUCCGCGGGUUCGAAUCCCCCCUCCUCCUCCUCCCCUCCCCUCCCCCCUUUCCCCCCUCAAUCCCCCCCCACCCCCCCCCCCCCGGAUGCCCCCCCCGCGCCCCGCGGUGACGGGUAUUCUCGGGCGGAUAACACGGCCGCGCUGUUAUUGCUGGAGAAUACGCGUAGCCGAGGGGACGCCCCGAGCCGGCCUCCUCGUGCAUCCUCUCGUGCAUCCUCGUGCAUCCCCGUGCACGGGGCCGUGCAUCCUCGUGAGCCCGCGGGCGUCCCCGUGAAGCUUUGGGCGUCCUCGGGUGUCCCUCUGCAGCCGUCCCCGUGUGUGCUCUGCGCCCUCGUGCAACCUCUUGCACCCUCGUGCACCCACCCCCGUGCACGCCCUUGUAUCCCCGUGCAGCCUCGUGCCUCCCCGUGCCACGCCGUGCCUCGCCAUGCAUCCUCGUGCAUCCUGGUGCAAUGGCACGCGGCCUCGUGCAACCGUGUGCACCGGGCUGGGCGACUUCGGCUGCCCACACGUGUCCCCGUGUGUCCUCUGCACACUUGUGCAUCCCCGUGCCUCCCCGUGCAACCUCGUGCAACUCUGAGCAUCCUUGCACAUCCCCGUGCAUCCUCGUGCCGCCUCAUGCAUCCAUCCUCGUGCAUCCCCGUGCAUCCAAUCUUGUGCACCCCCUUGCAUCCUUGUGCCGCCCUCUGCACCCUCGUGCGUCCGUCCGCGUGCACCGUUGUGCACCAAGUGCAUCCUCCACGUGCAUCCCCACGCACCCUCGUGCAUCCUCGUGUAACCCCGGGCACCCUCGUGCACCAUUUUGCACCCUGACCAUGAGCCACCAUGCGUCACUGUGCAUCCAUCCUCAUGCAUCGUGCAAUGCUGUGCACGCGCGUGCACCCCCGUGCAUCCUUGUGCAACCCCGUGCAUCCUUGUGUGAUGCUGUGCAACACUGUGCAACCUCGUGCAUGCACCCUCAUGCAACACUGUGCAUCCUCGUGCAACCCCGUGCUCCCUCGUGCAACACCGUGCAUCCUCGUGCGAUGCUGUGCAACGCUGUGCAUCCUCGUGCAUUCUCGUGCAACACUGUGCAACACUGUGCACCCUCGUGCAUGCAUCCUCGUGCAACACCGUGCAUCCUCGUGCGAUGCUGUGCAACCCGGUGCAUCCUCGUGCAACCCCGUGCAUCCUCGUGCAACACUGUGCAACACUGUGCAACCUCGUGCAUGCACCCUCAUGCAACACCGUGCAUCCUUGUGCAACCCCGUGCAUCCUCGUGCGACACCGUGCAUCCUCGUGCGACGCUGUGCAACACUGUGCACCCUCGUGCAUCCCGUGCAUGCAUCCUCGUGCACCGCCGUGCAUCCUCGUGCACCCCUCUUGCAUCCCGCAGCCCCCCCGUGCAUCCAUCCCUGUGAAUCCCCGUGCAACGCUGCACAUCCCUCAUGCCCCCCAACCCCAUGCAUUCUUAUGCUCUCCGGUGCAUCCUCGUGUGCUCACACCCGUGCAUUGUCGUGCAACCCGGCGCCUCCUCGUGCACCCUCGUGCAUCCUCGUGCAAGCCCUGCAGCCUCAUGCAUCCCUGUGCAUCAUCCAUCCCUGCGCCUCCUGGUGCACAUCGUGCGUCCCGUCUCGUCUGCGCAUGCGCGGAGCCGCGCCCAACUCGCCCCGUUGCCCGGCAACAGCCCGCCGUCGCCAAGCAACGCGUUGCCAGGCAGCGGGGAGUGACUGACAGCUCCGGGCACGCCCCCCCCUGCCGGGUACCGCCUCCCUAUUGGCUGAGCGGAGCGGGAAGGGGCGGGGCUUUGAAGCGCGUCGGGAGACGGGGCGGUGCUGGAUUGGCGGCUGGAGCGGCCAAUGAAAAGCGAGGAGGGGGACGGCGCGCGGGACGGGCAUCCCGCCCUCCUUUUCGUGCCCUCCGAUUGGCUGAGACGCGCGCGGUGGGCGGGAGCGGGAGGGAGCCUCUUCUGGUUGGCUGAGGCGCGCGCCGUGGGCUGAGAGAUGCUCCUCUCCGAUUGGCUGAGGAGAGCACGGCGGGCGGGAGCGGCUCCGCGGGACUCUCCCCUCCGAUUGGUUGAGGCGCGCGGUGGGCGGGAGCAGCGCUGAGGGAAGCCGCUCCCCGAUUGGCUGAGGGGCUCCGAGCUCCCAUUGGCCGCUCCCCGCGGAACGGAGGCAGAGAUUGGCCACGGCCGAAUGGCGGCAGCGCUGGAACGGGCGCUGGGCCCGGCUGGGCCGGAAGCGGACGCGUCCGUGCCGGAGGCGCCGCUGUUGGUGCUCGGCCCGGCGGGCUCGGGCCGCACGGCGCUGCUGCUGCGGGCGGCGUUGGCAGGAGGAGGGGACGGGCCCCGCGCUCUCUUCUUAGCGCCCAGCGCUCCCUCCCGACUCCCAGAGGGCGGCGGCGGUGACCCGAGGGCGCUGCAGCGCCUGGAGCUCCGCUACCCCCCCACCCUGGCAGCCCUGGCCCAGGAGUUGGGGGCAAUGGCGGCCCGAGCCCGGCCCCCCGGCUUGCUGCUGCUGGACGGGCUGGAGCACUACAUCCAGGGGGGGCCCAGCGCCCCCGCCCGCCUGGCCGCCCUGCUGCUGGAGGCCUCCCGCGCCCCCCGACCCCCGGCCCGGCUCCUGGCUGCCCUCCGUGUGCCCCCCCCCGGGCCCCGUGUGCUGCCCGUCCUGCGCCGUUACUUCCCGGCUGAGUGCCGUCUGAGACCCCUCCCCGGGGUCCCACUGCGGGUGAACGUCCGCCUCGUCCUGCCCGGAUCGGUGCCGCGGGGAUGGAGGCUGCGCUUCGAGCCCCACGGGGGGCUGAACGUCACCCCCGGGCCUGGGGACGGCGAUGGGGACGAGGAUGAGGACGGAGAUGGCAGUGGGGAUGAAGGCUGAGGGUGAGUCGGGUGGUGAUGUGCAGCCCUCGGGUGUUGUGGUGUCACUGAGCCUGGCUGGUGUGGAGCCCAGGUGAUGUGGAGCCCAGGUGACACGGGGACGUGGAGCUGCCCGGUGACACGGUGACAUGGAGCACAGGUGACGUGGAGCCCAGGUGACAUGGUGACAUGAAGCCCAGGUGACACGGUGACAUGGAGCCCCAGUGACGUGGAGCUCACAUGACACAGUGCCAUGGAGCCCAGGUGAUGUGGAGCCCAGGUGACACGGUGACAUGGAGCUGCCCGGUGACAUGGAGCCCACAUGAGACAGUGACACGGAGCCCAUGUGACACAGUGACACGGAGCCCAGGUGAUGUGGAGCCCAUGUGACAUGGUGACAUGGAACUGCCCGGUGACACGGUGACAUGGAGCCCAGGUGACAGGGAGCCCACAUGACUCAGUGACAUGGAACCCAGGUGACACAGUGUCAUGGAGCCCAGGUGACAUGGAGCCCAGGUGACACGGUGACAUGGAGCUGCCCGGUGACAUGGAGCCCACAUGAGACAGUGACACGGAGCCCAGGUGAUGUGGAGCCCAGGUGACACAGUGACAUGGAGCCCAGGUGAUGUGGGGCCUGGGUGACACGGUGACGUAGAGCUGCCCAUGUGACAUGAAGCCCAGGUGAUGUGGAGCCCACAUGACACAAUGACAUGGAGCCCAGGUGAUGUGGAGCCCAGGUGACACGGUGACAUGGAGCUGCCAGGUGACAUGGAGCCCAGGUGACACGGUGACAUGGAGCCCAGGUGAUGUGGAGCCCAGGUGACACGGUGACAUGGAACUGCCCGGUGACACGGUGACAUGGAGCCCAGGUGACAUGGAGCCCACAUGACUCAGUGACACGGAACCCAGGUGACACAGUGACAUGGAGCCCAGGUGAUGUGGAGCCCAGGUGACACGGUGACAUGGUGACACAGUGUCAUAGAGCCCAGGUGACGUGGAGCCCAGGUGACACGGUGACAUGGAGCUGCCAGGUGACAUGGAGCCCAGGUGAUGUGGAGCCCAGGUGACACGGUGAUAUGGAGCUGCCCGGUGACAUGGAGCCCACAUGAGACAGUGACACGGAGCCCAGGUGAUGUGGAGCCCAGGUGACACAGUGACAUGGAGCCCAGGUGAUGUGGGGCCUGGGUGACACGGUGACAUAGAGCUGCCCAUGUGACAUGAAGCCCAGGUGAUGUGGAGCCCAUGUGACACAGUGACAUGGAGCUGCCAGGUGACAUGGAGCCCAGGUGACACGGUGACAUGGAGCCCAGGUGAUGUGGAGCCCAGGUGACACGGUGACAUGGAACUGCCCGGUGACACGGUGACAUGGAGCCCAGGUGACGUGGAGCCCAGGUGACAUGGUGACAUGAAGCCCAGGUGACACGGUGACAUGGAGCCCCAGUGAUGUGGAGCCCAGGUGACACAGUGACAUGGAGACCAGGUGAUGUGCAGCCCGGGUGACACAGUCACAUAGAGCUGCCCGGUGACAUGGAGCCCAGGUGACACAGUGACAUGGAGCCCAGGUGAUGUGGAGCCCAGGUGACACGGUGACAUGGAGCAGAGGUGAUGUGGAGCCCAGGUGACACAGUGACAUGGAGCCCGGGUGAUGUGGAGUCCAGGUGACACGGAACCGAGGUGACAUGGGGUCUGCAUGGCACAGUGACACGGAGCCUGGGUGACACUGUGGCGUGGGACCCAGGUGACAGGGAACCAAGGUGACACAGAACCUGAGUGACACAGACCCAAAUGGCACGGAACCCAGGUGACACAGAACCCAGGUGACAUGGAGCCCUGGUGACAUGGGACCGGGUGACACAAUGCCUAUGUGUCAUGGAACCCACGCGACAUGGAACCCAGGUGACACGGAACCCGAGUGCUAUGGAACCCAGGGGACGCAAUGCCUGUGUGACACAGAACCCGGGUGACAUGGAAUGCAGGUGACAGAGUCUGUGCGGCACGACACGGAGCCUGGGUGACACUGUGACACGGAACACAGGUGACACGGAACACAGGUGACAUGGAACCCAGAUGGCACAGUGCCUAUAUGACAUGGAACCCAGGUGACACGGAACCCAGAUGUCACAGAACCCAGGUGACACAGUGCCUAUAUGACACAGAACCCAGGUGACACAGAACCCAGGUGACAUGGAACCCAGGUGACACAGAACCCCGGUGACAUGGAACCCAGGUGACACGGAACCCACGUCACAGUGCCUAUACGACACGGAACCCCGGUGACACAGAACCCAGGUGACACGGAACCCAGGUGACACAGUGCCUAUAUGACACAGAACCCAGGUGACACAGAACCCAGGUGACACAGUGCCCAGGUGACACAGUGCCUAUAUGACAUGGAACCCAGGUGGCACAAUGACACGGAACCCAGGUGACACAGUGCCUAUACGACACGGAACCCAGGUGACACGGAACCCAGAUGACACAGAACCCAGGUGACACGGAACCCAGGUGACACGGUGCCUAUAUGACACAGAACCCAGGUGACACAGAACCCAGGUGACACAGUGCCUAUACAACACAGAACCCAGGUGACACGGAACCCAGGUGACACGGAACCCACGUCACAGUGCCUAUACGACACGGAACCAAGGUGACACGGAACCCAGGUGACAUGGAACCCAGGCGACACAGAACCCAGGCGACACAGAACCCAGGUGACAUGGAACCCAGGUGAUACAGUGCCUAUACGACACAGAACCGAGGUGACACAGAACCCAGGUGACACGGAACCCAGAUGUCACAGUGCCUAUAUGGCACGGAACCCAGGUGACACAGAACCCAGGUGACACAGAACCCAGGUGACACAGAACCCAGGUGACAUGGAACCCAGGUGACACAGUGCCUAUACGACAUGGAACCCAGGUGACACAGAACCCAGGUGACACGGAACCCAGAUGUCACAGUGCCUAUAUGGCACGGAACCCAGGUGACACAGAACCCAGGUGACAUGGAACCCAGGUGACACGGAACCCACGUCACAGUGCCUAUACGACACGGAACCAAGGUGACAUGGGACCCAGGUGACAUGGAACACCGUGACACAGAACCCAGGUGACACGGAACCCAGGUGACACAGUGCCUAUACGACACGGAACCCAGGUGACACAGAACCCAGGUGACACGGGACCCACGUCACAGUGCCUAUACGACACGGAACCGAGGUGACACAGAACCCAGGUGACACAGAACCCCGGUGACAUGGAACCCAGGUGACACGGAACCCACGUCACAGUGCCUAUACGACACGGAACCAAGGUGACAUGGGACCCAGAUGUCACAGUGCCUAUACGACACGGAACCGAGGUGCCACGAGCCCCCGUGCCGCACUGCUGGUGUCCGGAGGUGUCCGGAGGUGUCCGGAGGUGCCAGGAGGCGACACGAGCGGACAGCCCACGUUAUCAGUGCCCUCACAGCCACCCCCCUCCCCCCCCCCGACACCCACAGCGUGGGGCUGAGCGCGUGCUGUGCCCCCCCCCGGCCCUGGGGGCUCUGAUAAGGCCUUAUCACCGCCCCCACCCCACCCCACCCCCCCCCGAGGCGCUGCGUGCGCUCACGAGUGCUUUAUUGUAUAAAACAGUGGCAAACCAACACGAGUGGCCCCAAUUCGGCGUAUGGACAUUGGGGGGGGGGGGGGGGGUGGGACGGGACCACCCCCACAACCCCGCUGUGUCCCCACGUGACGUCACUGCGACGUGUCCCCUCCGUCCCCGUGUCGUGGUGAGUCCACGUGACGUCACUAUGACGCGUCACCUCCAUCCUCGUGUCGUGGUGAGUCCACGUGACGUCACUAUGACGCGUUACCUCCAUACUCGUGUCGUGGUGAGUCCAUGUGAUGUCACUAUGAGUCCAUGUGACAUCACUACAGUGUGUCAUCUCCAUCCUCGUGUCAUGGUGAGUCCAUGUGACGUCACUACGACGUGUCCCCUCCAUCAAUGUGUCACAGUGUGACAUACCCUCGUGUCGUGGUGAGUCCACGUGACAUCACUAUGACGCGUCACCUCCAUCCUCGUGUCGUGGUGAGUCUCCUCCAUCCAUGUGUCCACAGUGUGACACGUCCUCGUGUCAUGGUGAGUCCACGUGAUGUCACUGUGUGUCCAUGUGACAUCACUGUGACUUCUCCCCUCCAUCCUUGUGUCGUGGUGAGUCCAUGUGACAUCACUAUGACGUGUCGCCUCCAUCCAUGUGUCACGGUGUGACACAUCCUCGUGUCAUUGUGAGUCCACGUGACAUCACUGUGACGUGUCCCCUCCGUCCCCGUGUCGUGGUGAGUCCACGUGACGUCACUAUGACGCGUCACCUCCAUCCUCGUGUCGUGGUGAGUCCCCUCCGUCCAUGUGUCACAGUGUGACACGUCCUCGAGUGUUGUGAUGAGUCCACGUGACAUCACUAUGACACGUCACCUCCAUCCAUGUGUCACAGUGUGACACGUCCUCGUGUCAUGGUGAGUCCACGUGAUGUCACUAUGAGUCCACGUGACAUCACUACAGUGUGUCACCUUCAUCCUCGUGUCGUGGUGUGACACGUCCUCGUGUCAUGGUGAGUCCACGUGACAUCACUACGAUGUGUCCCCCUCAUCCUCGUGUCAUGGUGAGUCCACGUGAUGUCACUGUGAGUCCAUGUGACAUCACUACAGUGUGUCCCCUCCAUCCUUGUGUCGUGGUGAGUCCACGUGACGUCACUAUGACGCGUCACCUCCAUCCUCGUGUCGUGGUGAGUCCCCUCCGUCCAUGUGUCACAGUGUGACAUGUCCUCGUGUCAUGGUGAGUCCACGUGACAUCACUACGAUGUGUCCCCAUCAUCCUCGUGUCAUGGUGAGUCCACGUGAUGUCACUGUGAGUCCAUGUGACAUCACUAUAGUGUGUCACCUCCAUCCUCGUGUCAUGGUGAGUCCACGUGACGUCACUACAGUGUGUCCCCUCCAUCCAUGUGUCAGUGUGACACGUCCUCGUGUCAUGGUGAGUCCACGUGAUGUCACCAUGAGUCCACGUGACAUCACUAUGACGUGUCCCCUCCAUCCUCGUCUCAUGGUGAGCCCACGUGACAUCACUAUGACGUGUCCCCUCCAUCCUCGUGUCGUGGUGAGUCCCCUCCGUCCAUAGUGUCACAGUGUGACACGUCCUCGUGUCAUGGUGAGUCCACGUGAUGUCACUGUGAGUCCAUGUGACAUCACUGUGACUUCUCCCCUCCAUCCUUGUGUCGUGGUGAGUCCAUGUGACAUCACUGUGACGUGUCCCCUCCGUCCCCGUGUCGUGGUGAGUCCACGUGACGUCACUAUGACGCGUCACCUCCAUCCUCGUGUCGUGGUGAGUCCCCUCCAUCCAUGUGUCACAGUGUGACACGUCCUCGUGUUGUGGUGAGUCCACGUGAUGUCACUAUGAGUCCACGUGACAUCACUACAGUGUGUCACCUCCGUCCUCAUGUCAUGGUGAGUCCACGUGACAUCACUGUGACGUGUCCCCUCCAUCCUCAUGUCAUGGUGAGCCCAUGUGACGUCACUAUGACGCGUCCCCUCCAUCCUUGUGUCAUGGUGAGUCCACGUGAUGUCACUAUGAGUCCAUGUGACAUCACUAGUGUGUCACCUCCGUCCCCGUGUCGUGGUGAGCCCACGUGACGUCACUAUGACGUGUCCCCUCCAUCCUCGUCUCAUGGUGAGCCCACAUGACAUCACUAUGAUGUGUCCCAUCUGUACUCAUGUCAUGGUGAGCCCACGUGACCUCACUAUGACGUGUCCUCUCCAUCCUCGUGUCAUGGUGAGCCCAUGUGACGUCACUAUGACGUGUCCUCUCCAUCCUUGUGUCAUGGUGAGUCCAUGUGACAUCACUAUGAUGUGUCCCCCUCCAUCAAUGUGUCACAGUGUGACACGUCCUCGUGUCAUGGUAAGUCCAUGUGAUGUCACUAUGAGUCCAUGUGACAUCACUACAGUGUGUCACCUCCAUCCUCGUGUCAUGGUGAGCCCACAUGACAUCACUAUGACGCGUCCCCUCCAUCCUCGUGUCAUGGUGAGCCCACGUGACGUCACUAUGACACGUCCCCUCCAUCCUCGUGCCGUGGUGUGACACGUCCCCGUGUCGUGGUGAGCCCACGUGACCUCACGUCGCCGUGUCCCCUCCAUUCGGUGUCACCCCAUCCCGGGGGGUGUCCCCAACCCCCCCCUCCGCCCCCCUCUCCCCCCCCCCCCAUCCAUUAAGAGCACAGCACGUAGGGGGGGGGCAUUGGGGGGGGCCCCAACGCCAGGAGGGUCCCGGGGGGGUUCCCAUUGCACGGAAGCUCCCGUGGGGGUCUCCUGUCGUGGGGGGUUUCUUUGGGGGGUCCCCUCCUCGGGGGGGGGGGACCCUUUGUGGGGAGGGGCCAGGUUGGCGUAGGGGCCGCCGGGGGGGGUCGUGGGGGGGGGGCGAUUUGGGGGUGCCCCCUGGGGCAGAGCAGGGCCGAGCCGGGGUCAAACAGCGUGUACUCAAAGCUGGAGGCGGGCGAGGGGCCGCUGGGGGGGGCCGAAGGGGGGGCAGACGGGGGGGUCCCCGGGGGGGGGCUCUUUGCCCGGGGGGGGGCCCCACCUCUUCCACGGCACUGGGCUGUUCCUCGGCUUCCGGGGUGCCUCCGGGGGGGCUCCAGGGCUCCACCACCCCUUGGUACAGCCAGAGCUGCGGGGGGGGGGGGGGGGGGGCACGGGGUCAGGCAUCGCCAUGGGUGCCCCCCCUCACCCCCCCAUAUACCCCCAAUGAACCCAACCCCCC
rnacentral:lncRNA from 1 species